rnacentral:rRNA from 1 species
UACAGAGGUCUCAAGCGUUGUUCGGAUUCAUUGGGCGUAAAGGGUGUGUAGGUGGCGCGGUAAGUCGGGUGUGAAAUCUCGGGGCUUAGCUCCGAAACUGCAUUCGAUACUGCCGUGCUUGAGGACUGGAGAGGAGACUGGAAUUUACGGUGUAGCGGUGAAAUGCGUAGAUAUCGUAAGGAAGACCAGUGGCGAAGGCGGGUCUCUAGUACGGUACUGACGCUGAGACGCGAAAGCGUGGGGAGCGAACAGG